GACGAACGCUGGCGGCGUGCUUAACACACGCAAGUCGAGCGGUAAGGCCCUUUCGGGGGUACACGAGCGGCGAACGGGUGAGUAACACGUGGGUGACCUGCCCUUAGCCCUGGGAUAAGCCUGGGAAACUGGGUCUAAUACCGGAUAUGACCUCAUGACUCAUGUUGUGGGGUGGAAAGCCUUGUGCGGCUAGGGAUGGGCCCGCGGCCUAUCAGCUUGUUGGUGGGGUAAUUGCCUACCAAGGCGACGACGGGUAGCCGGCCUGAGAGGGCGACCGGCCACACUGGACUGAGACACCGGCCCAGACUCCGUACGGGAGGCAGCAGGUGGGGAAUCUUGCGCAAUGGGCGAAAGCCUGACGCAGCGACGCCGCGUGA
rnacentral:rRNA from 1 species